CCCUUAGAUGUUCUGGGGCGCACGCGCGCUACAAUGAUGAAUUCAACGAGUUUAUAACCUUGGUUGAAAAGCCUGGGUAAUCUUUUGAACUUUCGUCGUGAUGGGGCUAGACCCUUGCAAUUAUUGGUCUCCAACGAGGAAUUCCUAGUAAACGCAAGUCAUCAGCUUGCAUUGAUUACGUCCCUGCCCUUUGUACACACCGCCCGUCGCACCUACCGAUUGAAUGGUCCGGUGAAAUCUUCGGAUUGAGACUUUGAUUUCUUCACGGAAAACGCUGUUUUAAGAAGUUGAUUAAACCUUACCAUUUAGAGGAAGGUGAAGUCGUAACA
rnacentral:rRNA from 1 species